AUACAUUUCUCAGCCUUUUGGGUAAGAUAAAAUGUAAUAUUUGUUCUUAUCAAUUUAAUAUAUGGUCUAUGAAGCAUAUGUUCACUUUGAUAUUAAAUUUGUUUUUAUCAAUAUCAAAUAUGAUUGCGUGUCGUUGUAGUGUACGCAGUGCUGGCCCUGGAGGGCUCAAACAAUGCCCUUGAUCUGGGCCUUCACAUU
rfam:Zea mays cultivar B73 chromosome 2, whole genome shotgun sequence.